rnacentral:rRNA from 1 species
AUUGAACGCUGGCGGCAGGCCUAACACAUGCAAGUCGAGCGGUAACAGGGAUAGCUUGCUAUCUGCUGACGAGCGGCGGACGGGUGCGUAACGCGUAGGAAUUUGCCCGAUAGUGGGGGAUAGCCCGGAGAAAUUCGGAUUAAUACCGCAUACCUUCUACGGAAGAAAGCAGGGGAUCUUCGGACCUUGCGCUAUCGGAUGAGCCUGCGUCGGAUUAGCUAGUUGGUGGGGUAAAUGCCUACCAAGGCGACGAUCCGUAGCUGGUCUGAGAGGAUGAUCAGCCACACUGGGACUGAGACACGGCCCAGACUCCUACGGGAGGCAGCAGUGGGGAAUAUUGCACAAUGGGCGCAAGCCUGAUGCAGCCAUGCCGCGUGUGUGAAGAAGGCCCUAGGGUUGUAAAGCACUUUCAGCGAGGAGGAAGGGUAUCUUGCUAAUAUCAAGAUGCAUUGACGUUACUC